GAUGAACGCUGGCGGCGUGCCUAACACAUGCAAGUCGAGCGAACAGAUGAGGAGUUUGCUCCUCUGACGUUUGCGGCGGACGGGUGAGUAACAUGUGGAUAACCCACUUAUAAGACUGGGAUAACUUCGGGAAACCGGAGCUAAUACCGGAUAAUAUAUUGAACCGCAUGGUUCAAUGGUGAAAUUCGGCUUUGCUGUCACUUCUCGAUGGUUCUCGGCCGCGUUAGCUAGUUGGUAAGGUAACGGCUUACCAAGGCAACGAUGCGUAGCCGACCGGAGAGGGUGAUCGGCCACACUGGAACUGAGACGCGGUCCAGACUCCUACGGGAGGCAGCAGUAGGGAAUCUUCGGCAAUGGGCGAAAGCCUGACGAAGCAGCGGCGCGUGAGUGAUAGAGGUCUUCGGAUCGUGAAGCUCUGUUAUGAGGGAAGAACAGAUGUGUAAGUAGCUAUGCAGGUCGUGACGGUACCUGGUCAAAAAGCCACGGCUAACUACGUG
rnacentral:rRNA from 1 species